GAAUUUAAAUAAUUAUUAAAAUUAUUAUUUAAUAUAUUGUUUAUAAAAAUAAUUUUUUAUUUAUUAAUAAUUAAGAAAAAUAAAGCUUUUAUUAUAAAGGAUUAGUAUUGUGAAAGAAAUUUUUUAAAUAAAUUAAAGAAAAAUUUAAUUUUUGUACCUUGUGUAUCAGGGUUUAUUAAAAAUUAAUAAAUAGUUAUAAUUCUCGAAUUUAAAAGAGUUAAUUAAUUAAUAAUUUUAUUGUAAAAUAAAUAUUUAUAAUAAUUAAUUAGUAAUGAAAUGUUAUUCGUUUUUAAAUAUAUCUAGUUUUUAAAGAAAAAAAUUUAAUUUUAAUUAUAAUAUUUAAAAUUUUAAUUUAAUAAAAUUUUAUUUUUAUAAUUAAAUUUUUUAAGGGAUAAGCUUUAAAAAAAAAAAUUAUAAUAUAAUUAAUUUAUUAAUAAUUAAUAAGAUUAAAAAUUUCUAAGUAUAAAAUUAUGUUAUAAUUUAUUAUUAAUUUUAUUAUAUUUAUAUUGUAUUUAAAUUAUUUAUUUAAUUAAUAUUUAUAAUUUAUUAAAAUAUUUAAUAAUGAUAAAAUAAGUAUAGUUAAAUUUAUUUAGUAAAAAUUUAUUAAGGUAAAUUAAAGGAAUUCGGCAAAUUAAUUAUUCACCUGUUUAAUAAAAACAUCGCCUUUUGAUUAUAAUUUAAGGUUUAAUCUGCCCACUGAAAAUUAAAUGGCCGCAGUAAUUUGACUGUGCUAAGGUAGCAUAAUAAAUAGUUUUUUAAUUGAAAGCUGGAAUGAAUGAUUGGAUGAGAUAAUAGCUGUCUCAAAUUUAAUUAAUUAGAAUUUUAUAUUUAAGUUAAAAAGCUUAAAUGAUUUUAAAAGACGAGAAGACCCUAUAGAGUUUUAUAAAAUUAAUUUUAUUUAAAUAUUUUAUUAAAAAAUUUAAUUGGAUUAAUCUUAUUUAGUUGGGGUGAUUGAAAAAUUUAAUAAACUUUUUUUUAAAAAUUAACAUAAAUAUAUGAUUAAUUGAUCCAUUAUUAAUGAUUAUAAGAAUAAAUUACCUUAGGGAUAACAGCGUAAUUUUUUUUAAGAGUUCUUAUCGAAAAAAGAGAUUGCGACCUCG
rnacentral:rRNA from 1 species